rnacentral:lncRNA from 1 species
GCGUCAAGACGGACGGACGAAGAAUGCCUGUAUGGAGCUUGUCCAUAGAAGCAAGAUGUUCUCGCGUGGCGGCGGAGUGUGUCCGGCAAGCGGUGUUUACUUGCGUGGUAGCGGAGUCCGUCUGGCACGCGGGGUGUACUCGUGCGGCGGCGGAGGGUCUCAGAUAAGGGCGCGUGGCAGAUUCUACCCAUAGCAAAGGAGGUGUCCGGAGGACAGGGGUAAUCGCGCGGCGACGGAGUGUGCCCGACAGGUGGAGAUCACUCUCGCGGUGGCGGAGUGUUUGGGCAAGCGGUGCACCCGCGCGGCGGGCGUGUCCGGCGGCCGGUAUACUCGUGCGACGGAGUUUACCCGCGAUGACGAAGUAUGUUUGGUAGGCGGAGUACUCGCGCGGCGGAGUGUGUCCAACAAGCAGGUAUACUCGCGCGGCGGCAGAGUGUGACCGACAAGCGGAGAUUACUCGCAACGGCGGAGUGUGUCCGGCAAGCGGAGAUUACUCGCGCGACGGCGGAGUGUGUCCGGCAAGCGGGGACUGCUCGUGCGGCGGUGGAAGUGUCACGCAUGCAGAGCUUGCUCGCUCGCGCACCGGCGUGUUCGUGCAUGUAAAACUUGCUCGCGCAGCAGGCGCGUGUCCAGCGUAUGCGGAACUUGCUCGUGCGGUGGAGG